ACAAUAACUUUGGACCGUCGGUCUACCAAACAUUUUCACCCGCUCGGUGGAAGAUCUUUCUUUUAUCUU
rnacentral:pre_miRNA from 1 species